GUGUGGUUGAUUCGUCCCACACGCCAACGAGGGAAAAAUAAAACACAAAACACAGCCGAAAAUAUCGGGUGUGAAUGGCGGUAGC
rnacentral:ncRNA from 1 species